UAUCUUAUUUCUUCCCGCGAAAUCCCCAACUCUACUUACAUCCUCCUCAAUUAGGGCUAGGGUUUCUCUCAAUCCCCAAAUCCUAGCAUAUGCUUCUCUCUUUAAGCGCCAUGGAUGAGCCUCUGAUCAUGAUAUGGGAACCCUCGAUUCACGAGAUUCGCCGGCGGCAGUUAAGGAUGAUCUGAGGCAGGUAGAUCUAUUCUCAGUGGAGGCAAUUACGACCGAUACUAUGCUAAAUUUUAGUGUUUUUGAUUUGAGAAUUUCUCAGGUCAGUCUAUUACAGCUGCAUAUUUUUGGAAACUCAUGCAAGUGGACAUGCUAGAAAAUGUUGAAGUUAUGAUGGCAACAAAAGAAAAGUUCCAAGUUUCAUUGUAAGGUUGACAAAACUUAUACCGGCAUAUGUUGGUUGAUGCACAUCAGCUCAUCCCAUGUUUACCCAACAAAUCUAAUGUUUUCAUCUUUAUUCGUGGCUGUGUUAAAUGAUGCCAUCAACAUAAAUUGAAUCCAGGCACUGAAACUGUCUGUAAUAAUGACUCAAAUGGUUGAGCGAAGACAAUGGUUAUAAACUCUUGAAUGUUGUCACCAAAUAUGGACGGGUACCUUGUUCUUCUUUUUUCGAACUUUAAUUGAAGGGUUGAAAAUUGAAGCA